rnacentral:rRNA from 1 species
AGCGUACACGGUGGAUGCCUAGGCAGUCAGAGGCGAUGAAGGGCGUGCUAAUCUGCGAAAAGCGUCGGUAAGGUGAUAUGAACCGUUAUAACCGGCGAUACCCGAAUGGGGAAACCCAGUGUGUUUCGACACACUAUCAUGUCAUGAAUACAUAGUGGCAUGAGGCGAACCGGGGGAACUGAAACAUCUAAGUACCCCGAGGAAAAGAAAUCAACCGAGAUUCCCCCAGUAGCGGCGAGCGAACGGGGAGGAGCCCAGAACCUGAAUCGGCUUGUGUGUUAGUGGAAGCGUCUGGAAAGUCGCGCAGCAAAGGGUGAUAGCCCCGUACACUAAAAUGCACAGGUCGUGAGUUCGAUGAGUAGGGCGGGACACGUGACAUCCUGUCUGAAUAUGGGGGGACCAUCCUCCAAGGCUAAAUACUCCUGACUGACCGAUAGUGAACCAGUACCGUGAGGGAAAGGCGAAAAGAACCCCGGCGAGGGGAGUGAAAUAGAACCUGAAACCGUGUACGUACAAGCAGUGGGAGCACCUUCGUGGUGUGACUGCGUACCUUUUGUAUAAUGGGUCAGCGACUUAUAUUUUGUAGCAAGGUUAACCGUAUAGGGGAGCCGUAGGGAAACCGAGUCUUAACUGGGCGAAUAGUUGCAAGGUAUAGACCCGAAACCCGGUGAUCUAGCCAUGGGCAGGUUGAAGGUUGGGUAACACUAACUGGAGGACCGAACCGACUAAUGUUGAAAAAUUAGCGGAUGACUUGUGGCUGGGGGUGAAAGGCCAAUCAAACCGGGAGAUAGCUGGUUCUCCCCGAAAGCUAUUUAGGUAGCGCCUCGUGAACUCAUCUUCGGGGGUAGAGCACUGUUUCGGCUAGGGGGCCAUCCCGGCUUACCAAACCGAUGCAAACUCCGAAUACCGAAGAAUGUUAUCACGGGAGACACACGGCGGGUGCUAACGUCCGUCGUGAAGAGGGAAACAACCCAGACCGCCAGCUAAGGUCCCAAAGUCAUGGUUAAGUGGGAAACGAUGUGGGAAGGCAUAGACAGCCAGGAUGUUGGCUUAGAAGCAGCCAUCAUUUAAAGAAAGCGUAAUAGCUCACUGGUCGAGUCGGCCUGCGCGGAAGAUGUAACGGGGCUAAACCAUGCACCGAAGCUGCGGCAGCGACGCUUAGGCGUUGUUGGGUAGGGGAGCGUUCUGUAAGCCGUUGAAGGUGGCCUGUGAGGGUUGCUGGAGGUAUCAGAAGUGCGAAUGCUGACAUAAGUAACGAUAAAGCGGGUGAAAAGCCCGCUCGCCGGAAGACCAAGGGUUCCUGUCCAACGUUAAUCGGGGCAGGGUGAGUCGACCCCUAAGGCGAGGCUGAAAAGCGUAGUCGAUGGGAAACAGGUUAAUAUUCCUGUACUUGGUGUUACUGCGAAGGGGGGACGGAGAAGGCUAGGCUAGCCGGGCGACGGUUGUCCCGGUUUAAGCGUGUAGGGGGUGUGACCUGGUAAAUCCGGUUGCAUAUCAACCCUGAGGCGUGAUGACGAUGCACUACGGUGCAGAAGUAGUUGAUGCCCUGCUUCCAGGAAAAUCCUCUAAGCUCCAGGUAACAUUAAAUCGUACCCCAAACCGACACAGGUGGUCAGGUAGAGAAUACCAAGGCGCUUGAGAGAACUCGGGUGAAGGAACUAGGCAAAAUGGUGCCGUAACUUCGGGAGAAGGCACGCUGGCAUGUAGGUGAAGUCCCUCGCGGAUGGAGCUGAAGCCAGUCGAAGAUACCAGCUGGCUGCAACUGUUUAAUAAAAACACAGCACUGUGCAAACACGAAAGUGGACGUAUACGGUGUGACGCCUGCCCGGUGCUGGAAGGUUAAUUGAUGGGGUCAGCCGCAAGGCGAAGCUCUUGAUCGAAGCCCCAGUAAACGGCGGCCGUAACUAUAACGGUCCUAAGGUAGCGAAAUUCCUUGUCGGGUAAGUUCCGACCUGCACGAAUGGCGUAAUGAUGGCCAGGCUGUCUCCACCCGAGACUCAGUGAAAUUGAACUCGCUGUGAAGAUGCAGUGUACCCGCGGCAAGACGGAAAGACCCCGUGAACCUUUACUAUAGCUUGACACUGAACAUUGAGCCUUGAUGUGUAGGAUAGGUGGGAGGCUUUGAAGCGUGGACGCCAGUCUGCGUGGAGCCAUCCUUGAAAUACCACCCUUUAAUGUUUGAUGUUCUAACUCGGCCCCAUAAUCUGGGGUGAGGACAGUGUCUGGUGGGUAGUUUGACUGGGGCGGUCUCCUCCCAAAGAGUAACGGAGGAGCACGAAGGUUAGCUAAUCACGGUCGGACAUCGUGAGGUUAGUGCAAAGGCAUAAGCUAGCUUGACUGCGAGAGUGACGGCUCGAGCAGGUACGAAAGUAGGUCUUAGUGAUCCGGUGGUUCUGAAUGGAAGGGCCAUCGCUCAACGGAUAAAAGGUACUCCGGGGAUAACAGGCUGAUACCGCCCAAGAGUUCAUAUCGACGGCGGUGUUUGGCACCUCGAUGUCGGCUCAUCACAUCCUGGGGCUGAAGUAGGUCCCAAGGGUAUGGCUGUUCGCCAUUUAAAGUGGUACGCGAGCUGGGUUUAGAACGUCGUGAGACAGUUCGGUCCCUAUCUGCCGUGGGCGUUGGAAGAUUGAGAGGGGUUGCUCCUAGUACGAGAGGACCGGAGUGAACGCACCACUGGUGUUCGGGUUGUCAUGCCAAUGGCAUUGCCCGGUAGCUAAGUGCGGAAAAGAUAAGCGCUGAAAGCAUCUAAGCGCGAAACUUGCCUCAAGAUGAGUCUUCCCUGGGCCUUUAAGGCCCCUGAAGGAACGUUUAAGACUAAGACGUUGA